GAUGAACGCUGGCGGCGUGCCUAAUACAUGCAAGUCGAGCGAACAGACGAGAAGCUUGCUUCUCUGAUGUUAGCGGCGGACGGGUGAGUAACACGUGGAUAACCUACCUAUAAGACUGGGAUAACUUCGGGAAACCGGAGCUAAUACCGGAUAAUAUUUUGAACCGCAUGGUUCAAAAGUGAAAGACGGUCUUGCUGUCACUUAUAGAUGGAUCCGCGCUGCAUUAGCUAUUUGGUAAGGUAACGGCUUACCAAGGCAACGAUGCAUAGCCGACCUGAGAGGGUGAUCGGCCACACUGGAACUGAGACACGGUCCAGACUCCUACGGGAGGCAGCAGUAGGGAAUCUUCCGCAAUGGGCGAAAGCCUGACGGAGCAACGCCGCGUGAGUGAUGAAGGUCUUCGGAUCGUAAAACUCUGUUAUUAGGGAAGAACAUAUGUGUAAGUAACUGUGCACAUCUUGACGGUACCUAAUCAGAAAGCCACGGCUAACUACGUG
rnacentral:rRNA from 1 species